rnacentral:snRNA from 1 species
GGGUGUGAAGGCGAUCUGGCUGUGACAUUGAUCGACAGGGUUGAUUUGGCUGAUCUGGCUAGCUAGGCGAGUAUCCCCUUCCUCCCUCACUGCUCCUUGUGCAUCCUUCGACAUCCCUUGGCUGUGUGCUCGGUGGAAGAGGACGAUGUCCCAGGUAUAGAAAGAGUGUACCGAGGUCUCCAGUCUUCAGUUCCGGGUAUACGAUAGCUGUGCUCCCCUACUAGGACCUCCAAACAAGCUCAAGGUCCGCUUUUAUAAAGUCUAAUUUAAUGUAACCAUGUCUUAUUGGUGGGUUUCUCGUGGGAGAUCGGUUGGCA